UGACGGCCACAUCACGUUGAAACACCGUUCCCCCUACGAUCACCGAAGUUAAGCAACUUCGUGCCUGUUCAGUACCUAGAUGGGUGACCGCUUGGGAAUACUAGGUGCUGUU